GAUGAACGCUGGCGGCGUGCCUAAUACAUGCAAGUCGAACGAGGUGCUUGAGUAGCAAUACAAGAGUAUCCUAGUGGCGAACGGGUGAGUAACGCGUUGGUGACCUACCCCAAAGUGUGGGAUAACAGUUCGAAAGAACUGCUAAUACCGCAUGUGGUUAUUGGAUUUAGAAACUGAUAACUAAAGGAGCAAUUCGCUUUGGGAGGGACCUGCGUCCCAUCAGCUAGUUGGUGAGGUAAUGGCUCACCAAGGCUACGACGGGUAGGGGACCUGAGAGGGUGACCCCCCACAAUGGAACUGAAACACGGUCCAUACACCUACGGGUGGCAGCAGUAGGGGAAUAUUGCACAAUGGGCGAAAGACCUGAUGCAGCAACGCCGCGUGUGCGAUGAAGGCCUUCGGUCGUAAAGCACUUUCUUGAGGGAGUAGA
rnacentral:rRNA from 1 species